UUUCUCUGAGCUUUGGAGAAGUAGUUCUACUUUCUAAUCUUCUGUUUCUAAGUGUAAGGACAAAGAGAUCAGAUAGUAAGUUCUAUGGUUUCUUUUCUUUGGUAUUUGCAUGAAUAUAAGUGCUGGAUGCUUUGAUUUGUCUUCUUUUUGAAUAAGGCUGUUUAUUCAAAAUUCUUUUAAGCAAUUGACCCUGUGUUGUAUCAUCUUAAUACAGAGAGCACAUUUGGAUGUAUUUUUCUUUCUUUUUAUAUAAAGCUUUCUUUUAAGA